GUGGGCCUAGCGGUGGGGGUUCCCUUCCUUACUAAAGAUACGCAUUGUGCAGUGUCCACACAGAUUGUCUGAUGAAAUUAAUGAGCAAGAGCACCUGUUGAUGCGGUAAGGGUAACCUUACGCUGAUGCGAAAAGUGCCAGGGCACGAAAGUGGACUGGUACGGAAUUUUCGUGUCCCCAUCGUCUAGAGGCCUAGGACACUGCCCUUUCACGGCUGUAACAGGGGUUCGAAUCCCCUUGGGGACGCCAUUCCGAUAAUGAGUGAAAGACAUUAUCACCGGUUCUGACGAACCAAAAUACCUUAAAGAUGACUCUCACGAGUCGUGUUUAAAAUAUUGCUCUUUAACAAUCUGGAACAAGCUGAAAAUUGAAACGACACAGCUGAAACUUAUCUCUCCGUAAAUGUACUGAGAUAAGGAGUACCCUGUGUUGAGUCUCUCAAGACUCGCAAACCGAAGUGAAACACCUUCGGGUUGUGAGGUUAAGCGACUAAGCGUACACGGUGGAUGCCUUGGCA
rnacentral:misc_RNA from 1 species